AACGCACAUUGCGCCCGCCAGCAUUCUGGCGGGCAUGCCUGUCCGAGCGUCAUUUCCACCCUCAGGCCCUGCCUGGUGUUGGGGACCUGCAGCUGCUGCAGCCCCCCAAAGUCAACGGCGUGCCCGCCGGGCCCCGAGCGUAGUAACAUACCUCGCCUGGGAAGUCCGACGGCGCCCUGCCGCGAACCCAUACACUUCUAAGGUUGACCUCGGAUCAGGUAGGAAUACCCGCUGAACUUAA
rnacentral:misc_RNA from 1 species